rnacentral:rRNA from 1 species
CAGUAGCCGCGGGAAUACGUAGGUGGCAAGCGUUGUCCGGAAUUAUUGGGCGUAAAGGGCUCGCAGGCGGUUUCUUAAGUCUGAUGUGAAAGCCCCCGGCUCAACCGGGGAGGGUCAUUGGAAACUGGGAAACUUGAGUGCAGAAGAGGAGAGUGGAAUUCCGCGUGUAGCGGUGAAAUGCGUAGAGAUGUGGAGGUACACCAGCGGCGAAGGCGACUCUCUGGUCUGUAACUGACGCUGAGGAGCGAAAGCGUGGGGAGCGAACAGGAUUAGAUACCCCCGUAGUCCCUGUCUCUUAUAC